rnacentral:tRNA from 2 species
GGCCUAAUAGCUCAGUGGUAGAGCGAUAGUUUCACUCACUACAGGUCCACGGUUCGAUCCCGUGUUGGGUCA